ensembl:lncRNA
UUUUGACAGUGAAUGCUUUAUGGUGUCAUUUGCUUUUGUCUGUAGCUCUGGGGAAGAAUGCGUUCAAAAUGCUCGGGUUGAUAGCUCUCUCUGCAUAGCCACGCACAUUCAGGGAGAGGAAAGCAAUAUUGACAUCUCUCAGGCAAACCACGAGAGCAGCAGCCUUGUCUGUAGCCAGUGUGGUUCCCGAUUUGGGAUGAGCUCUGAGAACCACCAGCGCCUCCAGCGGGGCAAACCGUACAGGUGUGACCAUUGCCAGACUGCCGUCACCUAUAAAGGCAAUCUCAACAGCCCCAAGUCCACCAGCUCAGGUAGUCAGACACCCAUCCACAUGCCUGUAUUUCCCUGCUGUAGACAGGGUGGUUUGAGUGACAGUGUGGUGUCAUGUUGUGAUUGUCCCAGGUGAGAAACCUUACCGCUGCGGUGUGUGCGGCGCGCAGUUCAACAGACCGGCGAACCUCAAGACGCACCUGCGCAUCCACUCAGGGGAGAAGCCAUACAAGUGUGAGACGUGUGGCGCGUGCUUCGUCCAGGUAGGCGCUUUGUGUCGGCAAAAGGCCAGAGCGUCACGCUGUGGUUUCCGUGCAAUGACUCGGCUGUUUACGUUCGUGUUUGUUUAUUUGUCUGGGGCAGGUUGCUCACCUGAGGGCUCAUGUGCUGAUCCACACGGGCGAAAAACCGUAUGCUUGCAACGUUUGUGCCACCCGCUUCCGGCACCUGCAGACACUCAAGAGUCAUCUGCGCAUCCACACAGGCGAGAAACCAUACCGCGUAAGCACCAUCUCCCUCUACCACGUUCGGCCCCAUAUAUGGCUAUCUCCACUUUGCUUCAAGUGUUAACGAGCUUCUCUGUCCUCAGUGUGAGACGUGCGGGCUGCACUUCCGGCACAAGAGCCAGCUCCGCCUGCACCUGCGACAGAAGCACGGCGCUGUGACUAACAGCAAGGCCCUGCACUCGGGGCCCCAGCGCUAAGCUGCCCUGGGCCUCCACAGUCAAAACAAAACCAAAACAAGAGCACAGUGUACACAGACUGAAGCAAAAUACACUUUGCAUAGUGCAAUGUUCACGGUAGAUGUAUGGAGUGUUAGGGAUUUCAGUGUAUUUCUCCUCCACACACCUGUGCUCAUCCAUCCUUCACUUCACCUGGUACAUAAAGGUAGAGGGAAUCAGGCUCUGGUUCAGUCAAACCUUUGUUCAAUAUUGUAGAUGGGUUUUCUGCACAUUUUAUAACUGAGUGGCUCUAAAUAUACGUUACAUUCACCCCCCGGGUAAACCAGACCACAGCUGUAUGUAUUAUAAAGGUGAUGUCCCAUAGUUAUUUUUCUGUACAUGAAAUCAAAUUACAUUUAUUUUUGGAACUGUUGAAUGUGGUACACAUUAGGGGUACUCAAAAUUUAU